CAUUUUUAUUAUUUAUCUUUAGCAUAAUAUAUCAAGAGUUAGUGUACUUGGGCUUCCCUGGUGGCGCAGUGGUUGAGAGUCCGCCUGCCGAUGCAGGAGACGCGGGUUCGAGCCCGGGUCUGGGAAGAUCCCACAUGCCGCGGA